rnacentral:rRNA from 1 species
AUUGAACGCUGGCGGCAGGCCUAACACAUGCAAGUCGAGCGGAGCGGCGGACGGGUGAGGAAUGCCUAGGAAUCUGCCUGGUAGUGGGGAAUAAGGUACGGAAACGGGAGCUAAUACCGCAUACUAUCAGAUGAUCCUAGGUCGGAUUAGCUAGUUGGUGGGGUAAGGGCCUACCAAGGCGACGAUCAGUAACUGGUCUGAGAGGAUGAUCAGUCACACUGGAACUGAGACACGGGCCAGACGCCUACGGGAGGCAGCAGUGGGGAAUAUUGGACAAUGGGGGAAAUCCUGAUCCAGCCAUGCCGCGUGUGUGAAGAAGGUCUUCGGAUUGUAAAGCACUUUAAGUUGGGAGGCGUUACCAAAAGAAGAAGCACCGGCUAACUUCGUGCCAGCAGCCGCGGUAAUAC